UACGUAGGGGGCUAGCGUUGUCCGGAAUCAUUGGGCGUAAAGAGCUCGUAGGCGGCCACUCAAGUCGAAUGUGAAACCUCGAGGCUUAACCUCGAGCCUGCAUUCGAUACUGGGCGGCUAGAGUCUGGUAGGGGGAUCUGGAAUUCCUGGUGUAGCGGUGGAAUGCGCAGAUAUCAGGAGGAACACCCGAGUGGCGAAGGCGGUCACUGGCGCGACUACUGACGCUGAGAAGCGAAAGCAUGGGGAGCGAACAGG
rnacentral:rRNA from 1 species